CCUCGUGCUUCCAUGUCCAACGAUCAAGGUUGAGCCGAUCCUUGGCUGGGUUUUAUCAAUUUGCAUCGCCAAAACUUCAAGUUUGAUUCCACAAUUUGCAUCUCCGAUUUACGCAGCCGUAGUCGUCAUUGGAAGCAAGGUAUUACCACAAGUUCAUUGUUAAUGGGGAUUGGCAGCUUUCAACAUCGUCCCCAUCUGAAAGGGAUGGAAGUGGGAAUGUCAACAAUAUAAUCAUCCUUGGCGAAACUGCCGGUGUGAGACCUUCUGUUUAACAACCGCAAAAUGUCAGUGGACUAAUAUGCAUUUCUUUUUCGUCGAUUGUUUUCUUUUCCAGUAAGCAAAAAAUAGGACUUCUCCAAUGUCAGCUUUAGUUUCUUGUGUGGUGAUUGAAUUCUGCAGAUGGAAUUAGUUCUACAGAUUGAAUUGAAAUUUUAAUCACCCUUCUCUAGUAGUAUGUAAUGUACUAUAAAUGAAUUGAAGUCACAAAUCUCAA